GUGAAAAAUCAGUCGCCCGGACACGCCAAGAAAGUUGAAUGUAGUUCUAUUUUCAUGGCGUGUCCGCGAGCAUUCAGGCGGACAAAAAAUGCACAGGUUAGGCAACUAUAGAGAAAGUUGAGAUGUUCGCUCCGCCCACGCGGGCAAAGCGACUGCAAUGGAAAAUGGCCUUUAACCAACUGAGCUACAGACGCCAGUUGUCGAGCUCUAACCACAAGUUCAUGUAUAUACUAGGGUAAUGCCACCAUGUAUAGAUUAUGGGUAAAUAUCAAGAUUUUGUUGGCUUCUCACUCGAUUGAAUAAUAGUUGAAGGGUACUGUAGAUGGAAAUUAUCGAGUGGAAAUAGAAUCGCAGGUUCGAUUCCUGCCAGGGACCUAAAG